UUUUAACUGCCUUCUGAGAGGAGGCUGCAGAGGUACCGUCCUGAAGUCAUGGAGUAAACAGAAAAGGACCAAAUACGUUCACCGCCGAUCCUUACUUUGCUGAGGAGAUGACUGCCUUCAUGACAAUUAAGGCCAGCGAGAACAAGAAAUCUCCCCUCACCGAGAAGCUGGGUCACGAUACCCUCUAAUCAAGCUGCAGCAACCACCCCGGUGUCCGUGCCGCCGCAACUGACUCUCAAAAAAGAAAAGCCCUGUUAGCAACCGAUUUGCUCGCACUCUCGGUAGAAACAGGGAAGGAGAAUGUUCUAGGAAAUUUGCCUCGGGUUACGUGACUCGAGAACCGGCUCGAACCAGUUCGAACCAUUUGUCUCGUGAAUGCUUGGUCACGUCUACAAUAUAAUGAGGAGGGAAGCUGACCCUCUUGGCACAGACCGUACUUUAGUUUCAUGUUCAUAGGACGGACCAAAGUGACGUUGGUGGAGCGAAAAAUAGGGGUGGCAGACACUUCGCCAAAAUGCUUGUACUAUGAUUUUCUUAAAAGUGACAAAAGAGACUGUUGUAUGCAUCUAUAUCUAUUUUGUAUAUAUUUUAUAUGAUCAUAUGUGUUUGUCUGUCUCAGUGGGGGAUCUACCGGGGGUAAGAAGGGCAAUUGCCCACAAUUUUUCGUUCCUGAAAUUGUAACUGUAAAACACAAUCGUUUCUGUGUUCACCGAUGGCUAUUUGAUAGAAUUAAAAGGAUUAUAACUAA